CUCACUCCAAUCGUGAAAGAUCGGACAUCUAGGAUUCCACCCUACAUUAGUGUUCAACAUCAUUUAAAACAAAACAGACGCUAGCCAACUCGCUCCCAGGAGGCUCCCUCGAUUUCCUGCUUCGUCGGCCGUUCGAUGGUGGUUAAAAUAGCCUUCUGCGUGAUCUGAAACGUCGGAUGGUCGCGCUGCUCGUUUUCACCGCGUGGUAACCUCGCAUUGGCCAAUGACGUGUGGGCUCAUGCGAUGUGCUGGUUGGCUGGGUCAACCGCUUCGUGGUGUGUGCGCACCCUGUCCCUGCACGCCGCAUGCACGUCGUGCCAUUUGCGGGAGAUCGUGCGAGAGCCACACCCAUUGGUCACCGGAGGACGCUCCCCUGCCGUGCGCUACGUGCCGUUGGGCCACUGACAUGUGGGCCAGGUUCCCAAAAAGCCCACAUGUCAGUGACAAAACGGCAGGCUGCCGUACGUCAGAGGAUCCUCACCCUUGGUCACCGUCCCGCACAAACCCUACCCUUUCAAGGGCUCCCAGAUCGAUGCAGCCGCCUCCCUUAUCCCUCUCUUCCUCCCCCAAUGCGCCGGCCGCCGCCACCUGCCAUACCGCGUCCCCGCUGCGGCCAUGGCCUCUUCAAGAGGCACGCCCCUCCAUGGUCAGAAGCAGCAGACCAGGAUCCGGAUGAGGAAGAGGAGAUCCGGGCGCCCCAACGGUGGAUCGAUCGAUGCCCGGAUGAGGAAGAGGAGAUCCAGGCGCCCCAAUGGUGGAUCGAUCGUUGCGAGGUGACGACGAGCUCCUCCGGACGUGGGGGAGCAGUGAGGCUGGAGAUCCAGUCGGUGCAUGCCCCACGGGGUUGGGGAGACGCCGGCAAUAGGGGCAAGGUGCAUCAGGGUCGAAGCUGCAGCGCUCCGGUCCCCAAGCCGCCUCCAGGCUCGCUUCCUCCUCCAUCCUCCCGCAUCUCAUCCAUCUCGACGGAUACGAGGCGUGCGGGCACGGAGGCGAGGUUCUCCGGCGGCGGCGGGAACCUCCAGGCAGAGAGCGACCCCAUGGAUCCGUCCCUGCAGAAGAGAAGGAAGGAGAGGAGACAGGCCAUGGAGAUGGGAUGAGAACGUCCAUGGCCAGCCAAUCGAGCCCACCUCCGGUGCGCGACCCCAGGAAGGAUUUUGCGCUGCCGUCUUCUUUCGCCGGUCUGUGCCCUGGAAGAGCGACACCAGCCAGUUCUGCCUUACUUGCAGCGUGUGUGAUGUGUGCGUGCUUACUGAUGUGUGGCAAUUUCUUAAUUAUAAGUCCCAGUUUAUGCACUUUCUAGAAGGAUGAUGGUGAGGAGGGGCUACCUUUUCCUCGGAGAGGACCCUAACUGAACUUUGUAUCGAAGCUUUGUGUGUGUGUUUCUCCUUAAUCUGCGUGUAAAUUCAGAGUUCUAAUCACCAUCCUAGUGCUUGCUGGUUUCAGGCAUUGUAUGGGAAUGAAGCAAAAAGUCUGCCUUCCAUUGGCGUGUGAGUACUUGCACUUGGACCUUUUUGUGAGCAGUACUAACUAAUCUAAUGAUCUGAUCCUUGCAAUCUAAGGAAAAAAUAAAUCUAAGUCAUUUCCGAUCUGAAGAUCUGGGUACCAACUAUUUCUGUUUGUGUCUAUAAGCUUUUGAUUUUCCGCCAGGUCUAUUUUUUAUUUGCAAUGUUGAACCCUCUUUUCAUUUCUUGUGAAUAUUUCUUUUUGUUUGAUCAGUACUGCACCUGGUUAUCUACAGUGGAAGGCAAGGAUAACUAGAUUAAACAUUUCACAAGACCCUCCCAAUUACAGGCACAAACUCCUUUCAAGAUAUUACAAGUGUGGUUGAUUACGGGAGAUUGUCAGAUGAAAAGAAGGUAUAUCCUUUAUAUUUAUCUAGAUGUUUAAUUAGCUGCACAACCAUACGUGAUUCUAUAAGGAAACUAUUUAUCCUGGCGAUCUUGAUAUCCAGUCAUGUAUUACAAUAUUAGUAUAGGCUGUAAUUUUUGGCUAGGAAUCUAUAUAUACAGAACCUAAACUGAAGACUCAAUAUAGCACAUAUACUUGGCCAGUUAUCCUAAGAAUAUUAAUCCACCUGGACUUUUAACUUGACUUCCAAAGAAGUUCUUAACGAUCAAGCAUUUUUGAGUUUUUAGUAAAUUGAAAUAAUGUUGCACUUUGACAAUACUAUUCUGAUUUUGCAAGUUAAUAGAAAUCCUUCAGUUUCAUACCACUUUUUUAAUCGCGCAUUUGGAUGAGUAUUAGUAUAGGCUGUAAUUUUUGGCUAGGAAUCUAUAUAUACAGAACCUAAACUGAAGACUCAAUAUAGCACAUAUACUUGGCCAGUUAUCCUAAGAAUAUUAAUCCACCUGGACUUUUAACUUGACUUCCAAAGAAGUUCUUAACGAUCAAGCAUUUUUGAGUUUUUAGUAAAUUGAAAUAAUAUUGCACUUUGACAAUACUAUUCUGAUUUUGCAAGUUAAUAGAAAUCCUUCAAUUUCAUACCACUUUUUUAAUCGCACAUUUGGAUGAUUGCGACAUUAUCUCUUCUCAGAAUUCCGCUUGCAUGUUUCCAGUUGAGACAAUAACUGAGUUUGAUAAGUAACCACUAUAUUAUUUUCUAUGUGUACACAUGUUGUCGCUCUGCUUGAGUCAUCCAUCUCCACAUUACGAGCCCGAGACUUCCAUCACAACAAACUAUAUGUAUCCAGGUAGUGUCCAAUAUGUACACACAGGCUCCUCUCACAGGCCGACUAAGCUGAUUGUAACUGAAUGUGUGUGUGUGGCCGUGAAGCAGACUUUAUCUUGGUCUGAGUAUCAGUUCCCUUCAAUGGUACAAUUUUGGAUACUAUUUUCUUCUAGAUGUAUAGGUUUCUGCUGGUCCCAUUGGCUGCUACAUUUUAGUGAUACAAUAGCUCAAUGUCAUGCUCACCAAUUAUUCUGUAAAAAUGAAAAAUCGACUUGACUGUAUUUUGUACCUGUUUUAGUAAUUACAUGAUGUGAUUAUUUUCAUUCUAGAUAUGGAAAUAUUCUAAGGAUUAAGCUUUUUGAGACGUUAAGGUAUCUGAUGAUUAAUUAGCCUUUGUAAGAUUUAUGCACUCAUGUCAUACAACCUAGAUAAUUCUCCUUGGAUCUCCAUAAUUUCUAACUGAAUAUAGAUGUAUACUGACAGUAAAUCCCGUUUUAGUAAUUAGUUGGAUAUAAUUGAUAAUUCUUUGACAUGUUUUUAUGAAAUGUCUGCUUAAAUCAGCGUUAGAUGCUCCCAUAAUCGAUUACUUUUUGGAUAUGAAUUAUUACUAUAAGAAGUAUAUUGGUUCUCUGGUGUUUUCAGUUCUUACAAUAAACAAAUUAUAUUGUUUUCCACUAAUCAUUUCUCAUGUAGUUUUACUCUGCAGUAUGUAUCUUUUGCUUCAUAACUCAUCUGUUCACAAGAUUGAUGCCUAGAAAUUUCAGCCUUCCGUGCUAAAUGUCGUCUGCUCAUGUGUAACGGCAUAGAGAUAGGAACGAGCAAUUCAUCUUCAGUUUGAGAAAGUGGCGGACAAAAGAGAACUGGACUAUUGUUGCUGAGCGCUAGCUCUGGCCGCAUGAUCAUCUAUAUAUAUAGUUUUCGACAGUAAAUGUAUCCUGAUUGGUAUAGCACAAAUGGAAAUCUUACUUUCUUCUAAACUCUUAAUUUCAAGAUGAACUGGAGAGGGGAAUUUGUACUAAGUUUGGAAUCUAUCACAGUAAGUGUGUAUUUGCGGUAUUGAUGUACAGUUAUUAAGAAAGUUACAUUUUUCAGCUAUUGUGCUACUGAGAAGGAAGCAUGGCUGAGAAUUGCUCUGGCUGGA